ACAAAAGAUGUACCAUAGAUAGAACGACUUCUCAGCGAGUUGAAAACAGGGCUUUGAACAUAAAUAUUCUCCGACAGCAUCACUGAUUUUGUUAGCAAGUUAUACAGAGGAGUUUCAGCAUCAGCUAAAGUGCAAGAUCUCCUCCCUCCAAUUGUGGAAUCCCAACACUGGGUGUUUGUCAGUGCACAGUUCAGUGAAUACUGGGAUUGACCAUCACAUUAUAAUGACCUCACGGCUGAGAGAGUGAGCAUGUUUGACGAGGUUUCAUUCUCGUGUCCUGCAGAUUGCAACUCAAGUAACCUAACUACCAGGACAGAUUCGGGAAUGCCAGCUUGCUGCCUCGUGAUGGACGGCGCCGUUCACUCAAUAGGAUUUUCUGGACCACUUCUCACUUCAUGGAACGAGCUAUUAAUUCUUCCCCCACGUCAGAAGGGGGAGGGAAUGUUCUCAGAACACAGAAGCGGUUGAGUGGCUUAAUGUAACAAACCAUCCUGUAGUACAGAAAGCAGCUUUAGCGGUCUUUCUUCACCUGUACGCACUUCAUACAUUGUUUUCCAAAGCUACGGUUAUUAUAUCCCGUUUUUUAUCUGUUUAAUUUAGAGCGUUUUGCCAUUUAAAAUAGUUUAUCAGUAGCACUUACUAAUAAAAUGUUUAGAAGUUUAUAUGAUUAACAUUACGGAAUAUUCGUAUUAACAUUCUGUUUGCUAUUCUUCACGUCUCAGAACAUUCAGUUCGCAAGAAUCAACAACAUAUAAAAUGUGUUCUACCUUGCACUGAAACACCAUCAUUCUUACUAAUAUUAUUAGUAUUACUGUAACAUGAAGAUAAUCUGAAGUAGGGUUAAAGCAAUAUGAAAACAGUUUCUUUAUUAGUUACAAAAAGAAACUGAUGAUCCCUAGCGAUGUACUAUAUUAGAUAUUACUUAGUCUUAGUCAAUAAAUUUAGAAGAUAUUAAAAUCAGCGAGUCACGCCUCUGAGCUUACAAUCUUAUCUUUUGAGGAUGCCAUAAGUGAUCUAGUGCUUUGUUUGCUGUGCUGUAGGUCGAAAGGUCUAGGGUUUGAGUCACGAUAUGCCGCUGAACAUGUUUCACAUUUUUAGCUGUGAGAGCAUUAUAAUGAUGAAAGCCAAUCCCCCUUAUUCGAUUCAGAGUAGCUGCGUAGGUGAGAGAUGCUGUUGCUUGAUUGCUUUCCCCAUGGUGAGCAGUUUUAAAUUAGGGAUGACUAUGCCUGAACUUUAGGGGUCAUGUAUCGAAUAAGAUACCGCUCAGGUUUGAAGAUAACAAACACGCGCACAAAAAAAAACUUUUGUGAGUUUGUUGUCAGCUAUUUAUGUAUGUGUAUAGAGUGUUAUGAAAAAUCAUUUGCCCAAGCUGUUUCAAUAUGAAAAUAUGUAAUACGUGCCAGGAAUAAGUUCUUUUAGGCCUGAGAAAAAUGAUUAUAAUAAGCACAACUGUAUUUUUUUUCCUCAUACUCUCUUAAUUAAUUUGUUUAUACAACAUAAAAAUAGCAUUUCAGACGUUCUUUACACUUAUAUAAAAUUAGCCCAGGUAACGAGAUGUUAGGCAAUGGUUGUGGCAAAUAAAAUUGAAGUAGUUUGCUAUGAAUUUCGCGCAAAGCU